rnacentral:tRNA from 1 species
GGCCCUUUAGCUCAGUUGGUCAGAGCGAGCGACUCAUAAUCGCCAGGUCG